AGAAGUUCUAUUUCAGUUGAGAGUUGAGGAGUGGUGAUGUCAGACUGUGGCAGUUGGUGGCUGUCUUGCUCUCAUAAAGGAAGAGCCAUGUGAAGAUGGCACCAAUGCCAGAGCCCAGAGGUGGGGAAGGAUGACUUCUGCUGAUGUCACUGAGCACCAGGUACAGCCCUGCCUGAAGCUGUCUCCCUGUGGACGUCUCAGUUAAGCUGUCUGCUGCAUGAGAAUGGAGACCUGCCUGCUUCACUCCCUGCUGUGCCUGGGGUCUGGAACCCGCCCAGCACACAGUAGGACCUCAGCGAAUGUGUGUCGGGUGUGUGAUCACUGUAGGCCACAGACAAGAAUCUUCCCAGCAGUGAUGAAACCCCGUGACAGCCCCUGUCCACAGCGCCCUGCCCCUCCGCUUCUGGC